rnacentral:lncRNA from 1 species
AAAAAGCUUAAUUUUUAUUGAUACAAGAGACAUGCUUGAAUCUCUCGCUGAGGGUUUUUUUUUUUCUAUAAAAAGCAGUACUAUGUUUAAUGAAGUAGCUUGUUUGUAAUACUUUUUUUUUUAUAAUUGGUUUUUUGCAUUCCACAGGGCAGUAGCUGACUUGAGUCUGUUAAGUGAAGCCCUCAGAUUAUCCAAGAAAGUUUUACUGAAGGACCUUUGUCAGUUGGCUUCUCAGCUUAUAAGCUGUCUGCAUCAAAUUGUAGGCGUGGCCCUAAGAAAGUAGCCCAGCCUGCCAGUUCUUCUGUCCCUGUGCUGGGAAUCUGCCAUCCCUCUUCUUCUGCCUUCAGCAUCCUGCCUUCAUGUGCCUUGUGGGCGGGCUUCCUGUCAGAACUUCAGAACCCAUGAGAAAGGCAUAAUAAAACUAAGACAAGAAAGAAAAGGAGACUGGAG